rnacentral:rRNA from 1 species
GACGAACGCUGGCGGCGUGCUUAACACAUGCAAGUCGAACGGAAAUGCCUCUUUCGGGGGGUACUCGAGUGGCGAACGGGUGAGUAACACGUGAGUAACCUGCCCUUGACUUUGGGAUAACUUCAGGAAACUGGGGCUAAUACCGGAUAGGAGCUCCUGCUGCAUGGUGGGGGUUGGAAAGUUUCGGCGGUUGGGGAUGGACUCGCGGCUUAUCAGCUUGUUGGUGGGGUAGUGGCUUACCAAGGCUUUGACGGGUAGCCGGCCUGAGAGGGUGACCGGCCACAUUGGGACUGAGAUACGGCCCAGACUCCUACGGGAGGCAGCAGUGGGGAAUAGUGCACAAUGGGUGGAAGCCUGAUGCAGCAACGCCGUGUGCGGGAUGACGGCCUUCGGGUUGUAAACCGCUUUCGCUCAUGACGAAGCUUUGUGUGACGGUAGUGGGUAAAGAAGCACCGGCUAACUACGUG